ACGUAGGUGGCAAGCGUUGUCCGGAAUUAUUGGGCGUAAAGAGCAUGUAGGUGGGCUUUUAAGUCCGAUGUGAAAAUGCGGGGCUCAACCCCGUAUGGCAUUGGAUACUGGAAGUCUUGAGUGCAGGAGAGGAAAGGGGAAUUCCCAGUGUAGCGGUGAAAUGCGUAGGUAUGGGGAGGAACAGCAAUGGCGAAGGCGCCUUUCUGGACUGUGACUGAUUCUAAGCUGAGAAAGUGAGGAUAACAAACGG
rnacentral:rRNA from 1 species